rnacentral:rRNA from 1 species
UUUAGCCUACGGGGGGCAGCAGUGGGGAAUAUUGCACAAUGGGGGAAACCCUGAUGCAGCAACGCCGCGUGAGUGAUGACGGCCUUCGGGUUGUAAAGCUCUGUCUUCAGGGACGAUAAUGACGGUACCUGAGGAGGAAGCCACGGCUAACUACGUGCCAGCAGCCGCGGUAAUACGUAGGUGGCAAGCGUUAUCCGGAUUUACUGGGUGUAAAGGGCGUGUAGGCGGGACUGCAAGUUAGAUGUGAAAAACACGGG